rnacentral:rRNA from 1 species
AACGAACGCUGGCGGCAGGCUUAACACAUGCAAGUCGAGCGCCCCGCAAGGGGAGCGGCAGACGGGUGAGUAACGCGUGGGAAUCUACCCAUCCCUACGGAAUAGCUCCGGGAAACUGGAAUUAAUACCGUAUACGCCCUACGGGGGAAAGAUUUAUCGGGGAAGGAUUAGCCCGCGUUGGAUUAGGUAGUUGGUGGGGUAAUGGCCUACCAAGCCGACGAUCCAUAGCUGGUUUGAGAGGAUGAUCAGCCACACUGGGACUGAGACACGGCCCAGACUCCUACGGGAGGCAGCAGUGGGGAAUCUUAGACAAUGGGGGCAACCCUGAUCUAGCCAUGCCGCGUGAGUGAUGAAGGCCUUAGGGUUGUAAAGCUCUUUCAGCUGGGAAGAUAAUGACGGUACCAGCAGAAGAAGCCCCGGCUAACUCCGUGCCAGCAGCCGCCGUAA